rnacentral:rRNA from 1 species
AACGCGAAGAACCUUACCAACCCUUGACAUCCCAGGACAGCCCGAGAGAUCGGGUCUCAUUCGGUGGCCUGGAGACAGGUGCUGCAUGGCUGUCGUCAGCUCGUGUCGUGAGAUGUUGUUAAGUCCGGCAACGAGCGCAACCCACACUUUCAGUUGCCAUCAUUCAGUUGGGCCUCUGGAAGAACUGCCGAUGAUAAGUCGGAGGAAGGUGUGGAUGACGUCAAGUCCUCAUGGCCCUUACGGGUUGGGCUACACACGUGCUACAAUGGUGGUGACAGUGGGUUAAUCCCCAAAAGCCAUGUCAGUUCGGAUUGGGGUCUGCAACUCGCCCCAUGAAGCUGGAAUCCUAGUAAUCG